rnacentral:lncRNA from 1 species
GAAGUUGCGGAUCUCUAUGGCAGUGUUGGCGUUGGUGAUGGAUGCGUUGAUGGGGAAGUGGGCGUAGACGAAGCGCAUCUUGUAGCGGUAUCCCUUGGUGACGCCGGUGAUGAGGUUCUGGACGUGGGAGAUGGCGGUGCGGAUGGCGGCCAUGGUGCGGCGGGUGCCGAACCAGGCGUCGACCUUGAGCUUGCGGCCGCCCUCCUGCAGCUGGAAGUCGAGGUUGAGGUGCUUGAAGUUGCGGGUGAGCUUGCCCCGCGGCCCCUCCACCGUGACCACCUUGGCCGCCACCUUGACGGUGACCUCCUCGGGGAUGUCCAUGGUCUCGGAAGCGAGGAUCGUCUUCAUCUUGCUGCGCCGGCGGCUACGGGUGCGCGG